rnacentral:tRNA from 1 species
GCCCUGCUGGUGUCUGAGGAGAGCUUCAAACCCCGGGAGGACGCGAGGAGG